GGUCUCAUGGUGUAAUGGUUAAGCACUCUGGACUUUGAAUCAAGCGAUCCGAGUUCAAAUCUCGGUGAGACUU
rnacentral:tRNA from 1 species